rnacentral:rRNA from 1 species
UUGAACGCUGGCGGCAGGCCUAACACAUGCAAGUCGAGCGGAUGACGGGAGCUUGCUCCUUGAUUCAGCGGCGGACGGGUGAGUAAUGCCUAGGAAUCUGCCUGGUAGUGGGGGACAACGUUUCGAAAGGAACGCUAAUACCGCAUACGUCCUACGGGAGAAAGCAGGGGACCUUCGGGCCUUGCGCUAUCAGAUGAGCCUAGGUCGGAUUAGCUUGUUGGUGAGGUAAUGGCUCACCAAGGCGACGAUCCGUAACUGGUCUGAGAGGAUGAUCAGUCACACUGGAACUGAGACACGGUCCAGACUCCUACGGGAGGCAGCAGUGGGGAAUAUUGGACAAUGGGCGAAAGCCUGAUCCAGCCAUGCCGCGUGUGUGAAGAAGGUCUUCGGAUUGUAAAGCACUUUAAGUUGGGAGGAAGGGUUGUAGAUUAAUACUCUGCAAUUUUGACGUUACCGACAGAAUAAGCACCGGCUAACUCUGUG